rnacentral:rRNA from 1 species
GAUUAACGCUGGCGGCGUGCAUAACACAUGCAAGUCGAACGAUGAAACUUAAAUGAUUUCUUCGGAAUGAACUUAAGUGAAUUAGUGGCGGACGGGUGAGUGACGCGUGAGUAACCUGCCUUACACAAGGGGAUAGCCGUUGGAAACGACGAAUAAUACCCUAUGAAACUAUCACUUCGCAUGAAGCGAUAGUCAAAGUGUUAGCGGUGUAAGAUGGACUUGCGUCUGAUUAGCUAGUUGGUGAGAAAAAAGCCCACCAAGGCAACGAUCAGUAGCCGGCUUGAGAGAGUGUACGGCCACAUUGGGACUGAGACACGGCCCAGACUCCUACGGGAGGCAGCAGUGGGGAAUUUUGCACAAUGGGGGAAACCCUGAUGCAGCGACGCCGCGUGAUUUAGAAGGCCUUCGGGUUGUAAAAAUCUUUUGUAUAGGAAGAAAAUGACAGUACUAUACGAAUAAGGUCCGGCUAAUUACGUG